AUGCCCAAUGUAGGGAAUAGGGUGUCACUUCUUAUGUAAAGACUGGGUCUGGAUGUGUCUCAAAACACACCCUAUUCCCUAUGCGAGAUCUGGUUUAAAGUAGUGCACUUUGUAGGGAAUAAGGUGGAGGGUGACACUUCUCUUCUUCAUGUUAGAACCUGAUUAACGUAGCCGAUUGCCUUUCUACCAUCAUAGGUGGUGUACUGGCAUUUGAUAGGUUUUUUAAAAUUGUAUUUUUCAUUGUAGUUGUUAGGUUUUGCCACAAGAGGGUGCUGCUGAUACAUGCUGCAUUAUAUACAAAGCUUUCAGUAUUUAGAGUACACCGCAGGGCUGUUGAUAAAGUGGGCACGACCCAUUUACACUGUUCCCUUUAUAGUACACUGCUCGGCUAAACUCAGACCUACUGCACCAUAGGGAAUACACUGUUUGUGACUAGCAACGGACCAGCGAGAGAUCUGCGUGCGUCCACACUUCGAGCCUCAUAUUUUUAUUUUCUUGCAACUUCAAUGAAGUUAAUUAUUCAACUGGUCAUUUAUUAAACACUUAAUUUAGCAUUUGACCAGAGUGGUCUGACGUUAUUAUUCUUAACCUGGCCUAUUCUCUCUACGACUGACACAAUGUUAAUAGUGCUACCAUCAACCAAAACUCAUGUUUAUGUGUGCAAGUGAUAAUAUGGUAUGUAGUAUUGAAUGAAAUGCUGGACUAUGAUUUCUAGAUACAGAUGAAAUGUAUGUCUGUUUUGUUUGGUGAUGGGGGGGGGGGCGGGGAGUACGUUUUGAAUUGCAUUUGGUGGAUAUAUAUAACGUGCAACAUUGUACUUAUUUCACGUGUUUAUUGAAUAAAUGCUUGAAGAUGAA